GCCAGCAUGGUUUAGUGGUUUUAGUCUUGGACUAUGACUUUGGAGACCAGGGUUUGAACUCCUGUUCAGAUA